rnacentral:rRNA from 1 species
AUUGAACGCUGGCGGCAUGCCUUACACAUGCAAGUCGAACGGCAGCACGGGUGCUUGCACCUGGUGGCGAGUGGCGAACGGGUGAGUAAUACAUCGGAACGUACCUUAUCGUGGGGGAUAACGCAGCGAAAGUUGCGCUAAUACCGCAUACGCCCUGAGGGGGAAAGCGGGGGACCGUAAGGCUCCGCGCGAUUAGAGCGGCCGAUGUCUGAUUAGCUUGUUGGUGAGGUAAAAGCUCACCAAGGCGAUGUUCAGUAGCUGGUCUGAGAGGACGAUCAGCCACACUGGGACUGAGACACGGCCCAGACUCCUACGGGAGGCAGCAGUGGGGAAUUUUGGACAAUGGGGGCAACCCUGAUCCAGCAAUGCCGCGUGAGUGAAGAAGGCCUUCGGGUUGUAGAGCUCUUUUGUCAGGGAAGAAACAGCAGCUCUAACACAGUCUGCGAAUGACGGUACCUGAAGAAUAAGCACCGGCUAACUACGUGCCAGCAGCCGCCGUAAAAC